GAGCGGACCCUUCCCUCCUUUUUGAGGGAAACCUCUGCACCCUGGGAAAAGUCUCCAUUUUGAGGGGACCCUUUUCCCUAGAGAGAUUCUCCUUUAGGGAACCGCCCUCCCUGAGGAAACCCUGCUUUCCCAGGAAAACCUUCUCCUUGAGGAGACCUUGCUUUUCCAGGGCAUCCCUUUUUCCUCAGGAGACCUUGCUUUUCCAGGGCAUCCCUUUUUCCUGAGGAGACCCUGCUUUUCCAGAAACCCUCCUCCCUGAGGAGACCUUGCUUUUCCAGGGCAUCCCUUUUCCUUGAGGAGACCUUGCUUUUCCAGGAGCCCUUUUCCCUGAGGAGACCUUGCUUUUCCAGGGCAUCCUCCUGCAUUCUUCCUGAGGCAUCCCUUUUCACUCAGCCUCCCUGGCCCUAAAACAUGUUUUAAAAACAGUAAAAAUUCAAAGUUGUAGCUGGGACACAGCAACCAGCCUUCGCAGCUCCUGUCAAGGCUGACUGGCAAAAUCAGGCUGCUGUGAGGCUGAGAGGUAAAAAGGCUGUACAUGGGCUAAGGGACAAAUGCAAGGUCACAGGGACUGGCCAUGCCUUCAGUCAGACAUGUGAAGACUUGGUAGAAAAGUUAUAACCUCAGUGGUUGCAAAAGUCUGGUCCCACAAUUCUCUUUUUUAGUUUUUUUUUUUUUUUUCAGGCAACUUUUCAUCCCAUUUGCAUUAUUCUCCUUGUUCUUUCAGCUACAGGGUUUGGUUCCUGCAACAUACCAAGGCCUUCACAUUCAGAGCAGUAACACCAUUUUUGCCCAUGCUUCGUGUGACUCUGGUUGAUUUUCUUGCAGCCUGAGCUCAGUGUGAAGCCUCCUUCUUCCAGAUGUGGGGAGAUGGGCAAAUUCACAUAAAUCUGGUGUUGUGAGUGUUCCUGCAACAAGGUACCAUGGAACAGCUUAACAGCUUUGCCACUUAACUUUGAAUUAUAGUCUGAUCGGUGUAUUUUCAACAGAAGGCAAAAAUGUACAAAAGAAGAGAAUUUAGGGGAAAAAAAUAGUUUCCCAGAGAAGUUAUUAAUGUCCCAUCCCUGGAAAUUUUCAAGACCAGGUUGGAUUAGGCUCAGAGCACCCUGGGCUGGUGGAAGGUGUCCUUGCCCAUGGCAGGUGUUGGAAUGAGAUGAGCUUUAAGAUCCUUUCCAAUACAACCCAAUCUGUGAUUCUGUCUGUAUUAACCAUAGCAGAGCCUCACUGCUCUUUUUCAAGAACGAGUAAAAAUCUUGAUAAAGUUAAACCGUACUUUUCAAUUGUGGGGUGUUUUUUUGUAACCUUCAUGGAUUCAAAAUUUCAUAAAAACCUGACUAAUAGUCUUCCUGUUGCCAGCUCAGACAUGGAAACAGAUUGACCAGAAUUCCAGGGCGGAUGCUGUUUCAGAUUCUCUCUGAUCGCCACGAGAGCCACAGGACUUAACUCAGCUCCUGUCAGCAGGGUCAGGACAUAGCAAGUAAAAAUGAAGCUCGAAACAUCCCAGGAUUCAAUGACGUUCCUCUGGAAACUGCUGGAGAUGUCUUUGCCCACACGAUGGCAUCGCCUGUUUAGGAAGUUCCUCACGCUGCGGCUUCAGCACCCUCCCAGCGGGUUUGGAUUCUAACACCGUGUGUUAGAAGUAAAACCUGCUGUAAUAAAUUAGUUCAUCCCUUUCCUAACAACUCUACGUAAUGACUGUGAGGGUAAAACUCGGUUUUUGGUGGAAAUCCCUCCUUCCAGGUCCUGGAAAAAG